rnacentral:misc_RNA from 1 species
CCUAGGUCUGGCUGGUGAAGGUGGGUAAGAAAGCCGUUUCUUAACUGGCCCCAAAGUCCCUUUUUCCUUUUCUGGUGUACCAUUUUUUUCUUCCCCCAGUGGACUCUGCACCCUGGACUUUGCUCUUGCAGAUUCAGUAGGUACCAGUUGAAGAGAUACCAAGGCUCUCAUCAUCCUGCACAGAUGAUCCUGCAAUGCUAUGCCUUCUAUAUCGAUCUGAAUGCAUGCUGGCCAUGCUUCUGAAGUCAUCAUCA